UGUUGGCCGACCUGUCAGGUUAAAGUCGGUAGGGGGCGAUAACAUCCCUCCUCAUCAUGCUUCUUCCUGUGUCUUCCUGAGGCUGAAUGAAAGCAGCAGCUUUGUGAGCAAACAUGAGACAUGCAAAAUGGCUCAGCCUUAACAGCCAGGCCUCAAACCUCGCUGCCGAGGCGAUCUUCCAGAGUCCACCAGGACGAAGUGAAAUUCAUACAGCAAGGCAGAGUGUGAUAAGCAGAAGAGAUAUACAACAUGGCGGACAUGAUCUUCAAUAUGAGGACACAGGGACGGGAAG